rnacentral:rRNA from 1 species
UACGAGCGGCCCAAACGUUAUUCGGAAUUACUGGGCUUAAAGAGUUCGUAGGCGGCAUUGCAAGUAGGGUGUGAAAGCCCUCGGCUCAACCGAGGAAUUGCGCUCUAAACUGCAGUGCUCGAGGAACCUAGAGGUGAGCAGAACAGAUGGUGGAGCGGUGAAAUGCGUUGAUAUCAUCUGGAAUACCGGAGGCGAAGGCGGCUCACUGGGGGUUUUCUGACGCUGAGGAACGAAAGCCAGGGUAGCGAACAGG